UACGGGGGGGGCAAGCGUUGUUCGGAAUUACUGGGCGUAAAGGGCUCGUAGGCGGCCAACUAAGUCAUACGUGAAAUCCCUCGGCUUAACCGGGGAACUGCGUCUGAUACUGGAUGGCUUGAGUUCGGGAUGAGGGAGUGUGGAAUUCCAUGGUGUAGCGGUGAAAUGCGCAGAUAUCAGGAGGAACACCGAUGGCGAAGGCAGGUCUCUGGGCCGAUACUGACGCUGAGGAGCGAAGACGUGGGUAGCAAACAGG
rnacentral:rRNA from 1 species